CCGAAUAGGGGAGGCGUAGCGAAAGCGAGUCUUAAUAGGGCGUUUAGUCGCUGGGUAUAGACCCGAAACCGGGCGAUCUAUCCAUGGGCAGGUUGAAGGGUAGGUAACACUGACUGGAGGACCGAACCGACUACCGUUGAAAAGUUAGCGGAUGACCUGUGGAUCGGAGUGAAAGGCUAAUCAAGCUCGGAGAUAGCUGGUUCUCCUCGAANCUAUUUAGGUAGCGCCUCAUGUAUCACUGUAGGGGGUAGAGCACUGUUUCGGCUAGGGGGUCAUCCCGACUUACCAAACCGAUGCAAACUCCGAAUCCCUACAAGUGCCGAGCAUGGGAGACACACGGCGGGUGCUAACGUCCGUCGUGAAAAGGGAAACAACCCAGACCGUCAGCUAAGG
rnacentral:rRNA from 1 species